rnacentral:rRNA from 1 species
GACGAACGCUGGCGGCGUGCUUAACACAUGCAAGUCGAAUGGAAAGGCCCUGCUUUUGUGGGGUGCUCGAGUGGCGAACGGGUGGGUAACACGUGAGUAACCUGCCCUUGACUUUGGGAUAACUUCAGGAAACUGGGGCUAAUACCGGAUAGGAGCUCCUGCUGCAUGGUGGGGGUUGGAAAGUUUCGGCGGUUGGGGAUGGACUCGCGGCUUAUCAGCUUGUUGGUGGGGUAGUGGCUUACCAAGGCUUUGACGGGUAGCCGGCCUGAGAGGGUGGCCGGCCACAUUGGGACUGAGAUACGGCCCAGACUCCUACGGGAGGCAGCAGUGGGGAAUAUUGCACAAUGGGCGGAAGCCUGAUGCAGCAACGCCGCGUGCGGGAUGACGGCCUUCGGGUUGUAAACCGCUUUCGCCUGUGACGAAGCGUGAGUGACGGUAAUGGGUAAAGAAGCACCGGCUAACUACGUG